AUAGCGGCACGCGAUAGGUGACCCGAGUGCCAGCACACGCUGGCUGUCCACCAUGUGUAAAUAACUGGUGAAGAAAGGGCCGGGCAAGACCGGUGCCAGCAGCCGCGGUAAUAAAUA
rnacentral:rRNA from 1 species